rnacentral:rRNA from 1 species
GGCGGCAGGCUUAACACNUGCAAGUCGAACGAGACUUCGGUCUAGUGGCGCACGGGUGAGUAACGCGUGGGAACCUGUCCUAUGGUACGGAAUAACACCGGGAAACUGGUGCUAAUACCGUAUAAGCCCCGAGGGGGAAAGAUUUAUCGCCAUAGGAGGGGCCCGCGUAGGAUUAGCUAGUUGGUGAGGUAACGGCUCACCAAGGCGACGAUCCUUAGCUGGUCUGAGAGGAUGAUCAGCCACACUGGGACUGAGACACGGCCCAGACUCCUACGGGAGGCAGCAGUGGGGAAUAUUGGACAAUGGGGGAAACCCUGAUCCAGCCAUGCCGCGUGAGUGAUGAAGGCCUUCGGGUUGUAAAGCCCUUUCGCACGCGACGAUNAUGACGGUAGCGUGAGAAGAAACCCCGGCUAACUUCGUGCCAGCAGCCGCGGUAAUACGAAGGGGGCAAGCGUUGUUCGGAAUUACUGGGCGUAAAGGGCGCGUANGCGGUGCGUUAANUCAGAUGUGAAAGCCCUGGGCUCAACCCGGGAAUUGCAUUUGAUACUGGCGUGCUCGAAUCC